rnacentral:lncRNA from 1 species
GCCAUUAAAAUAACAAGAAGAAGGGGAUGUGAUUUUCUCUCACGCUGGUUGAAAAGAAACUGUAGUCUCAUAUUUCUGGAUCUCAUUAAAUCUCCAGCAUUCACAGAUUGAGGUAGUGAGGAAAGGUGAGACACUCUAACUUCUCAGCAAGUGCUACUGAGUGAUAUUUACGCUACUAUUACCGAUUUGGACCAUAAGAAAAACCACGCAUACGUUCAAGAGUCAUAAAUCAGCAGCAUAAUAAUUCCCCAACAUGCACUAAAGACUGAGGCUUGGAGGAUUCAUCGCACAACAAAGGACCUCAGACUGCUGCUCAAAGACCAGCUGUAUUUGUGUCCUGGAACAAGACAGUUCCACUUGUAAGAGCACCGUGUGAAGAUUUGAUUAGUGGAGUAAUAGCACAGUUUUGCUUAAAAUAUUCCAACACACAGCAUUAUGGGUGACACAUCAGAGUUCACAAGAGGACAAAUUGUUGGUGCACGUCUCUCUGGUGCAUCUGUGACCAAGGCAGCAGAUCUUUGUGGUGUAUCAAGAGCCACAGUAUCCAGAGUAACAUCAGCAUACAUCCAAGAAGGACGAACCACAUCCAACAGGAAUAACUGUGGAAGUAAGAGGAAGCUGUCUGAAAGGGAUGUCCGCGUGCUAACCCGGAUUGUAUCUAAAAACCAUGUAACCACAGCUGCCCAAUUCACAGCAGAGUUAAAUGUGCACCUCAAAUCUCCGGUUUCCACCAAAACUGUUCGGCGGGAGCUCCACAGGGUCAAUAUAUAUGGGCAGUUUCCUAUAGCCAAACCUUUGGUUGACUCAUGCGAAUGCCAACCGUCCGUUUCAGUGAAGCCAGGAGAGAAAAUCUUAGGCUGUGGACAAUGUGAAACAUGUAUUGCUCAGGAUUCUGAUACAGAAAGUACUUGAAUCUCAGACUCAUUGAUUCCUGGAAGGCAUAGGAAGAACUUGAAAACACACAUAGGUCCUUAAAAGUGCUUCAAAUAAAUGUGAAAAUAAACUUGUUUCAAAAAUGCUACUGUGUUGCUGUCAACAACAGAAUGAAAGUGCUGACGUACGUGUGUGUAGUUAUAUUUGUUGCGCAGCCUAAUCGUUUAAUAACCCAGGAUAUCCCCUGGACAUAUGUGGCCACAUUAUGGCUCCGAGUUGAUCACAACCACAAUCAAUGCUUGUAUGACCGUUCACAGCAAUUAUGGUGUUAUAGUUUGCUACAUAUUUUGCAUAAAAGCAAGCAAGAAAGCAAAGAAUUGGUUGAAUGCGUUGAAGGUAAUUGUUCUUUAUAUUCAUGAGAUUUCAUAUGUAACGCCUUUUAAGAUGUAGCUAUUGGGGGUUUUAAUAUAUAGAGAAUUAUGGUGAGGGGUCCACCUCUGAUAUCUCUUACCUGGUCAUUUGCAACCAUCAAAACAUGAAAACUGGUGAUGAGGUUUUUUUUUUAACUAGUAUAUAUAAUAGUUGGCUAAUAGUGUUAAACGGGUACAGUUUUAGGUCAAGAGCAAAACCCAAAUUUAAACUUCACUGACACUAUAUAUUGGUUUCAUUUACAUUUUGUAUCUGUACAGAAAUUGAUAUGCCAUGUCAUUUUGGCAAAGAUGAAUAAGUGAAUAAGCACGAGGUGGAAUAAAUGCUGGGUAUCUGCACACUAGGGAGUGAAUGGAAUACAAAAGCAGACAAA